GUAGGGAAUAUUGCACAAUGGAGGAAACUCUGAUGCAGCGACGCCGCGUGAGUGAUGAAGGCCUUCGGGUUGUAAAGCCCUUUUGUUGGGAAAGAAAUCCUGUCGAUUAAUACUCGGUGGGGAUGACGGUACCCAAAGAAUAAGCACCGGCUAACUUCGUGCCAGCAGCCGCGGUAAUACGAAGGGUGCAAGCGUUACUCGGAAUUUCUGGGCGUAAAGCGUGCGUAGGUGGUGGUUUAAGUCUGCUGUGAAAGCCCUGGGCUCAACCUGGGAAUUGCAGUGGAUACUGGAUCACUAGAGUGUGGUAGAGGGAUGCGGAAUUUCUGGUGUAGCAGUGAAAUGCGUAGAGAUCAGAAGGAACAUCCGUGGCGAAGGCGGCAUCCUGGGCCAACACUGACACUGAGGCACGAAAGCGUGGGGAGCAAACAGGAUUAGAUACCCGUGUAGUCC
rnacentral:rRNA from 1 species